rnacentral:rRNA from 1 species
AGUCGAGGGGCAGCAUUUCAGUUUGCUUGCAAACUGGAGAUGGCGACCGGCGCNCGGGUGAGUAACACGUAUCCAACCUGCCGAUAACUCGGGGAUAGCCUUUCGAAAGAAAGAUUAAUACCCGAUGGNAUAAUCAGACCGCAUGGUCUNAUUAUUAAAGAAUUUCGGUUAUCGAUGGGGAUGCGUUCCAUUAGGCAGUUGGUGAGGUAACGGCUCACCAAACCUUCGAUGGAUAGGGGUUCUGAGAGGAAGGUCCCCCACAUUGGAACUGAGACACGGUCCAAACUCCUACGGGAGGCAGCAGUGAGGAAUAUUGGUCAAUGGGCGCAGGCCUGAACCAGCCAAGUAGCGUGAAGGAUGACUGCCCUAUGGGUUGUAAACUUCUUUUAUAUGGGAAUAAAGUUUUCCACGUGUGGAAUUUUGUAUGUACCAUAUGAAUAAGGAUCGGCUAACUCCGUGCCAGCAGCCGCGGUAAUACGGAGGAUCCGAGCGUUAUCCGGAUUUAUUGGGUUUAAAGGGAGCGUAGGUGGACAGUUAAGUCAGUUGUGAAAGUUUGCGGCUCAACCGUAAAAUUGCAGUUGAUACUGGCUGUCUUGAGUACAGUAGAGGUGGGCGGAAUUCGUGGUGUAGCGGUGAAAUGCUUAGAUAUCACGAAGAACUCCGAUUGCGAAGGCAGCUCACUGGACUGCAACUGACACUGAUGCUCGAAAGUGUGGGUAUCAAACAGGAUUAGAUACCCUGGUAGUCCACACAGUAAACGAUGAAUACUCGCUGUUUGCGAUAUACAGUAAGCGGCCAAGCGAAAGCAUUAAGUAUUCCACCUGGGGAGUACGCCGGCAACGGUGAAACUCAAAGGAAUUGACGGGGGCCCGCACAAGCGGAGGAACAUGUGGUUUAAUUCGAUGAUACGCGAGGAACCUUACCCGGGCUUAAAUUGCAUUUGAAUANUNUGGAAACAGNNUAGCCGCAAGGCAAAUGUGAAGGUGCUGCAUGGUUGUCGUCAGCUCGUGCCGUGAGGUGUCGGCUUAAGUGCCAUAACGAGCGCAACCCUUAUCUUUAGUUACUAACAGGUCAUGCUGAGGACUCUAGAGAGACUGCCGUCGUAAGAUGUGAGGAAGGUGGGGAUGACGUCAAAUCAGCACGGCCCUUACGUCCGGGGCUACACACGUGUUACAAUGGGGGGUACAGAAGGCAGCUACCUGGUGACAGGAUGCUAAUCCCAAAAGCCUCUCUCAGUUCGGAUCGAAGUCUGCAACCCGACUUCGUGAAGCUGGAUUCGCUAGUAAUCGCGCAUCAGCCAUGGCGCGGUGAAUACGUUCCCGGGCCUUGUACACACCGCCCGUCAAGCCAUGAAAGCCGGGGGUACCUGAAGUACGAACCGCAG